rnacentral:rRNA from 1 species
AUUGAACGCUGGCGGAAUGCUUUACACAUGCAAGUCGAACGGCAGCACGGACUUCGGCCUGGUGGCGAGUGGCGAACGGGUGAGUAAUGUAUCGGAACGUGCCCAGUCGUGGGGGAUAACGUAGUGAAAAUUACGCUAAUACCGCAUACGAUCUAUGGAUGAAAGCGGGGGAUCGCAAGACCUCGCGCGAUUGGAGCGGCCGAUAUCAGAUUAGGUAGUUGGUAGGGUAAAGGCCUACCAAGCCAACGAUCUGUAGCUGGUCUGAGAGGACGACCAGCCACACUGGAACUGAGACACGGUCCAGACUCCUACGGGAGGCAGCAGUGGGGAAUUUUGGACAAUGGGCGAAAGCCUGAUCCAGCCAUUAGAGUGCAGGAUGAAGGCCCUCGGGUUGUGACUGCUUUUGUACAGA